rnacentral:rRNA from 1 species
AUUGAACGCUGGCGGCAGGCCUAACACAUGCAAGUCGAGCGGAUGAAGGGAGCUUGCUCCUGGAUUCAGCGGCGGACGGGUGAGUAAUGCCUAGGAAUCUGCCUGGCAGUGGGGGAUAACGUCCGGAAACGGGCGCUAAUACCGCAUACGUCCUGAGGGAGAAAGUGGGGGAUCUUCGGACCUCACGCUAUCAGAUGAGCCUAGGUCGGAUUAGCUAGUUGGUGGGGUAAAGGCCUACCAAGGCGACGAUCCGUAACUGGUCUGAGAGGAUGAGCAGUCACACUGGAACUGAGACACGGUCCAGACUCCUACGGGAGGCAGCAGUGGGGAAUAUUGGACAAGGGGCGAAAGCCUGAUCCAGCCAUGCCGCGUGUGUGAAGAAGGUCUUCGGAUUGUAAAGCACUUUAAGUUGGGAGGAAGGGCAGUAAGUUAAUACCUUGCUGUUUUGACGUUACCAACAGAAUAAGCACCGGCUAACUUCGUG